rnacentral:lncRNA from 1 species
AGGGAGAAUAUGAAAAAAAAUGAUGGGGUGGCAGUAGGUAAAAGGAGGCAGAACCUAUAAACAAUUAUUCUCUUUGUGUUUCUCAACUCUUGCAUGUCAUGAUUUUGUAGAUAUCUGGCUAAAAAUCUACCUUCUACUCCAGCUGCAGGCUAGGUUAAAGGUUGUUGGAUGAGAGGAGAYUGACACUUUCUCCAAGAAAGUAUUGGUGAAAACAUGAGUUUACUCUGAAAACAAAUUCCAAAGCAAUAGUGGAGCAUCACAUGACGCAAUCAGGCUGUUUCAUCUGCCUAGAGGGCAAGUUGCAACAUCCAGAACCAUCCUUCAGUGAUCCCAUUAAGUAUUUGAGACAUAAAAGAAGAAAAUUAUCCUGCAGUGUUCUGACAGCAGCUCGUUUCUUAAAUGCUAAAAGGUUGUCCUCACAGCAGUCUGAAUAAACCAGGACCUCUGGAAGAUAAAGAGCACUGGAGAAGUAAGUGUAACAUCCCUUACGUUAUCCCAUUAUUCCUGUGGUG